GGUGAACGCUGGCGGCGUGCCUAAUACAUGCAAGUCGAGCGAACAGACGAGGAGCUUGCUCCUUCGACGUUAGCGGCGGACGGGUGAGUAACACGUAGGUAACCUACCUAUAAGACUGGGAUAACUUCGGGAAACCGGAGCUAAUACCGGAUAAUAUUUCGAACCGCAUGGUUCGAUAGUGAAAGAUGGCUUUGCUAUCACUUAUAGAUGGACCUGCGCCGUAUUAGCUAGUUGGUAAGGUAACGGCUUACCAAGGCAACGAUACGUAGCCGACCUGAGAGGGUGAUCGGCCACACUGGAACUGAGACACGGUCCAGACUCCUACGGGAGGCAGCAGUAGGGAAUCUUCCGCGAUGGGCGAAAGCCUGACGGAGCAACGCCGCGUGAGUGAUGAAGGUCUUCGGAUCGUAAAACUCUGUUAUUAGGGAAGAACAAACGUGUAAGUAACUGUGCACGUCUUGACGGUACCUAAUCAGAAAGCCACGGCUAACUACGUG
rnacentral:rRNA from 1 species